rnacentral:rRNA from 1 species
GACGAACGCUGGCGGCGUGCUUAAUACAUGCAAGUCGAACGGAGCCUAGCCGGUAGUUUACUACAGGCGAAAGCUUAGUGGCGGACGGGUGAGUAACGCGUGGGCAAUCUGCCCCUAAGUCCGGGAUAACAGAGCGAAAGUUCUGCUAAUACCGGAUACUCUUCCUUGGUCGCAUGAACUGGGAAGGAAAGGGAUACCGCUUAGGGAUGAGCCCGCGUCCCAUUAGCUAGUUGGUGAGGUAACGGCUCACCAAGGCGACGAUGGGUAGCCGGCCUGAGAGGGUGGACGGCCACACUGGGACUGAGACACGGCCCAGACUCCUACGGGAGGCAGCAGUAGGGAAUUUUCCGCAAUGGGCGAAAGCCUGACGGAGCAACGCCGCGUGAGGGAGGAAGGCCUUCGGGUCGUAAACCUUUCGUCAUCGAGGACGAUAAUGACGGUACUCGAGGAGGAAGCCCGGCUAACUACGUG